rnacentral:rRNA from 1 species
UACGGGGGGAGCAAGCGUUGUUCGGAUUUACUGGGCGUAAAGGGCGCGUAGGCGGCCAGCACAAGUCAGUUGUGAAAUCUCCGAGCUUAACUCGGAAAGGUCAACUGAUACUGUGCGGCUAGAGUGCAGAAGGGGCAACUGGAAUUCUUGGUGUAGCGGUGAAAUGCGUAGAUAUCAAGAGGAACACCUGCGGCGAAGGCGGGUUGCUGGGCUGACACUGACGCUGAGGAGCGAAAGCGUGGGGAGCGAACAGG